rnacentral:rRNA from 1 species
UACGAAGGGUGCAAGCGUUAGUCGGAAUUACUGGGCGUAAAGCGCACGUAGGCGGCUUGGUAUGUCGGGUGUGAAAUCCCCGGGCUCAACCUGGGAACUGCAUCCGAAACUGCCUUGCUCGAGUAUGGGAGAGGGAAGUGGAAUUUCCGGUGUAGCGGUGAAAUGCGUAGAUAUCGGAAGGAACAUCAGUGGCGAAGGCGACUUCCUGGACCAAUACUGACGCUCAGGUGCGAAAGCGUGGGGAGCAAACAGG